rnacentral:rRNA from 1 species
UAGGGAAUCUUCGGCAAUGGACGAAAGUCUGACCGAGCAACGCCGCGUGAGUGAAGAAGGUUUUCGGAUCGUAAAACUCUGUUGUUAGAGAAGAACAAGGACGUUAGUAACUGAACGUCCCCUGACGGUAUCUAACCAGAGAGCCACGGCUAACUACGUGCCAGCAGCCACGGUAAUACGUAGGUGGCAAGCGUUGUCCGGAUUUAUUGGGCGUAAAGCGAGCGCAGGCGGUUUCUUAAGUCUGAUGUGAAAGCCUCCGGCUCAACCGGGGAGUGUCAUUGGAAUCUGGGAGACUUGAGUGCAGAAGAGGAGAGUGGAAUUCCAUGUGUAGCGGUGAAAUGCGUAGCUAUAUGGAGGAACACCAGUGGCGAAGGCGGCUCUCUGGUCUGUAACUGACGCUGAGGCUCGAAAGCGUGGGGAGCAAACAGG